ACGAAAAUUUAGUUUUUGAAUAAAUUAAAAUAAAAUGAAAAGAGUAAUAAUUUUUUUAUUAAUUUAAUACAUCGAGUUUGAACUCAAAUUUCACUGUCCUGAUGAAUUAGUCAAGGGUUAAUGUCUCUAUUAGGCUGAAUAAUUCUCUCUUUUUCCAAAAGAAUAGAGAGGUUGCGCAAUUUACAUUUACAUUUAGACUUUUGUAAUCCUAGCUAUAAACAAAUAAAUUAAUCAUUUCCCCAGCAGCCAACAUCACCAUCAAUUUCAUAAUGAAGUCCUCUUUUCAAUGGCAAGCUUGAUUCUCCCUAGAAAUUCAUCUAUUUUCAUUGUUCCUAGCUCCCCACUAAACCUAGAUCUUACUGUAACACUUUGUGUCUCAACCUCCUUAGGUCCCACAACAGCCAUUAAAGGAAUUUUCUGCUUCUCUGCAUUUCUAAUAAGCUUUGGUAAACGCUCGCCAUGGCAAACUUCAGUUCGAAUACCAUUAUCUCUCAGUUGGUCGCUCACUUCUUUGCAGUACUCAAGCUGUGUGUCAGUAACUGGUAACACUCGAACUUGGAUUGGAGAGAGCCACAAUGGGAAAUCCCCGGCAUAAUGCUCUAUGAGAACCCCAAAAAACCGCUCUAAGGAUCCAAGCACUGCUCUGUGAAUCAUUAUAGGCUGCUUCUUCUCCAUGUUUGAAUCAACAUAAGUAAUGUCAAACCGUUGAGGUAAAUUAAAAUCAACCUGUAUUGUCGAGCACUGCCACUUCCUUCCAAGAGCAUCCUCAAUCUUAAGAUCAAUCUUUGGACCAUAAAAGGCACCACCACCUUCAUCAAUUUGAUAGAUCCAACCCUUAUCAUGCAAAGCAUCUCUAAGAGCAGAUGUUGCUUUUUCCCAUAUAUCAUCAUCUCCCACAAAUUUAUCUGGCCUAGUUGAGAGGUUCACUUCAUAUUUGUUGAAACCAAAUUGCAAUAGUAUCUCCUCUGUAAGAUCUAGGACUCCCCUAAUUUCAUCUUUAAUUUGAUCUUCCAAACAAAAAAUAUGUGCAUCAUCCUGGGUAAAACCUCUUACGCGGAAAAGACCAUGUAAGCUUCCAGAUAACUCAUAUCUAUAUACCGUUCCUAGCUCUGCAACCCUGAUCGGAAAAUCACGAUAAGAAUUGAGCCUUCUUUUGUAUACCAAAAUGUGGUAAGGGCAAUUCAUAGGCCGAAGUUGAUAAUUCUCAUCCUCAAUCUUCAUCUGAUCAUACAUGUUCUCUCUGUAGAAGUCAAGAUGGCCACUGAUCUUCCACAGAUCCACCUUUGCUACAUGAGGAGUAUAUAACAAAUCAUAACCAUGUUCCAUAUGUAUUUUCUUCCAAGAGUUUUCUAUAAUAUGCCUAACAAUGGCGCCCUUUGGAUGCCAGAAAACCAAACCUCCACCAGCUUCAUCCUGUAUAGAAAAGAGAUCAAGAUAUUGGCCGAGGCGCCUGUGGUCUCGCCGUUUAGCCUCCUCUUUGAAGUAAAGAUAGGCUUUUAGUUGUUCUUCACUCUCCCAAGCUGUUCCAUAUAUCCUCUGCAGCAUUGGUUUGUUUUCAUCUCCUCUCCAGUAAGCACCAGCAACAGAUUCAAGUUCAACAGCUUUCUUAUUAAUAAGGCCAGUAGAGUCAACAUGAGGUCCAGCACAAAGAUCCCACCAUUCUUCACCAAUAUGGUAUAUAGUAAUGGGAUCUUCUUUUAUGCUUUCUAAAAUUUCCAUCUUGUACGGUUCCUUAACAGCCAUUAUUCUCCUCUGAGCUUCAUCACGGGUAACUUCUUCUCUUACAAGAGGCAAAUUUCGAGCAAUGAUGCGAUCCAUCUCCUUUUUAAUCCUCUUGAGGUCUCUAUCCGUCAAAGGCUCCAUAUCGAAAUCGUAAUAAAACCCAUUUUCUAUCCAUGGCCCAAUCGUCACUUUUGCUUCAGGGUAGAGUUUUUGAACAGCCAUGGCCAUAACAUGUGCACACGUGUGGCGAAUUCUGAGGAGUUUCUCAGACGAUUCAUUAGUGGGAAGAACAAUUUUGUCACUUUCCUCUUUCUGGGUCUCCUGAGCAGUGUCGUUUUGGGACACAGUCGCUGACUCAGUGGUAACUGCAGUAGAGAAAGAGACGCCAUUUCUCUUCCCAAACAGAGCACCAAAAUUCCUGGCGUGGCUUUGAGGUUGGAGCUUAGAUAUGGAAAGGAAACGUUUAUGAGGAAAGCAAAGGGGCAGAGGAGGCUUUAGGGGGCUAAGAGAAGUGGGUUUAGGGAGGAAAAGAGAGGGAAAUGCUUCCAUUCUCUGUAAGAUAUACAGAGUUUUGAGUUUGGUUUUUGUGUUUCCUUUUAGGCACUGAUUUUGUGCCUCUAUUGG
rnacentral:misc_RNA from 1 species